UUGGACGCUGGCUGGGGCUCGAGAGGGCGACGCCAGUCUUGCAGCGCCGAGCAAAAACCAGAACGAGCAGAGCAUCUCCUAGGACUCCUAUUCUGAGGAACCGCUCCAGAACAGGCUGCUUGGGUCCUGCUGUUUGACAGGGAGCUCCAGGGCCGGCAGGAUGGGGUCAGCCUGCAUCAAAAUCACCAAGUACUUUCUCUUCCUCUUCAGCUUGCUCUUCCUGAUCCUGGGCGGCGUGAUCCUGGGCUUCGGGGUGUGGAUCCUGGCCGACAAGAGCAGUUUCAUCUUUGUCCUGCAGUCCUCCUCCAGCGUGUUCAACGUGGGGGCCUAUGUCUUCAUCAGCGUGGGGGCCGUCACCAUGUUCAUGGGCCUCCUGGGCUGCGUCGGCGCCGUGAAGGAGGUCCGCUGCCUGCUGGGGCUGUACUUUGUCUUCCUCCUGCUGGUCCUCAUCGCCCAGGUGACUGCUGGUGUCCUCUUCUAUUUCAACAUGGGCAAGGUGAAGCAGGAGAUGGGCAGCAUCGUGAUCAAGCUCAUCCGGGACUACAAGGACGGCGAGAAGGACAGGCUGCAGCAGGGCUGGGACUACGUGCAGGCUCAGGUAGGGCUGGGGGCAGGGCAGCGUGAGGUCCGGGCCUGUUUGUGUCUGUGCGUCGGGGUCUGGGGUCCACGUGCCCAGCAGGGUGUGUUAGCGAGCUUGUGUGUGAGUGUGCAUCUGAGGGGCACGGGGGGCACUGAGGUGCCCUCUCAUCCUGACACCUCAGCCCCCACCACAACUGCUUCUCAGGGGCCCCAGAGCUUCGAAGCUGUGCCCUGGCUUUCAGGGCUUCCUGCAAUGGCAGGGGGCUGGCGCGGGGGGGGGGGGGUGUUGCUGCUCUCAGCCCUCCCAUCUCAAGCCAGGUGGGCGAGUGUUGGCAGCUCUGCCCUGGAGGUUAAGAAACUGGGUGCCGGGUGUGAGUGGAGACUACCUCUAGGGAGGAGCCCGUGGAAACCUCCAGGGGUAGGGGGGUAGGAACGUUCUAUUCAAACCCUGUCCAGGCGCUGGUCCUGCCAGGAUGGAGGUACAGCCUCAGCACGCCGGGUUUGUGUGCUCUAGCGUGUGCGUGCUCCACCUCAGCUAGAGUGGGGGAGCUGGAGACCACCGACUGGCCAACAGUGGACGGCCAACUGACAGACAGACGGGCGUACUGACGGAAUGACCGGGAGGAUGAACGACUGGCAGGCUAACUGAGUGACUGACUGGCUGAGUGGAUAAAUGGCCAUCCGCGGGGUUCCCAGCCUGCCUUGGUGGUGGCCCAGCCGCCACACACACAGAUCGGCAUCACUGAUCCGGUCCUGGCUGCCCCCUCGUUCAUGGCCCCAGGUGCUGUGUGUCCUAGGCCAGGCCCCGCCUCCUCUGGGCUGCAGCCUCCUCCAAUGGGGACACUGGGUACAAGUCAGGACCUGCUGGCCCUGGCUGGCCGCAGGAGAGUUUGGAGACUGAAGGGGGACUUUGUCCAGGAGGCACUGGCACACUGGUUUUCUGGGCUGUGGGAAGGGGAAGGGGAUGUUUUCUGGCUGACGAGCCUCGCAGAUUUUCCGUGAGGACCAGGUGAGGCCAGGCAGGAGGGCCUGAGCCGGCCAGAGGCUUGGCGCACCCAGGAAGGCCCUCUCAUCACACCUUUAGCUUGACGCACAAUUGCUGAGACACUUUGCUAACAUUCGAGGGAGUCGAGGUGCCCCAGAAUGAGCAAGUGCCACCUCUCAAGGAGCCCUGGGGAAAAGCGGGUCCCUGGGGAGAUGAGCGUCCCACCACGGGAGGUGGUUGGCUGCUGGGGGGGGGGGGGGUCCUGCAGCCGGCAAGUCCUCUAGAUGAUUCUGAUGUCUGUCGGAUGCUGCUUGGGGUGGUGGUUAAGAAAGCAGACUGUAGCCCUGGCUGGUGUGGCUCUGCCAUGCCAAUCUUUCUGCCAGAGAGGAGGCAGCCAGGCAACUGCUACAUAAAAAACACAACCUGGAGCCUGAGAACGCUGAGCAUGCUUGGCACGCCCCCUGCUGGCCACUGGGCUGCUUGUCCGAGGCUCCUCGAGGAGAUGGAUAGGAAGCAGGUGGGAAACUCACCACGCGCUGGGCGCACUGGCCCGCAGCUUUCCCUUGCAGCUCAUUUGAUCCUCCCAGGGAUCCUGACGUCCUGGGUAUUGCCAUCCCAUUCUCUAGAUGAGCAAACGAGCUCAAAAAGGGCAGCGGCUUGCCCACGCAUGGGGCAGGGCCAGGGUUUGAAAGGAGCCUUGCCCCCACUCUGCUCUGCUUAGUCGGGCCGUUCCCAGCCCAGGCCCAGCCCCGAGAUCCCAAUCCUGUCGGGAACUCCAGCCCAGAUGUGAUCCGAAGCCUCUUGGGGUCCCCUUCUUGAGCCCCAUGGAGGCCCCUUGUAGCACACGGAGCCCAGAAAGUCUUUCGUCCCCUCUAGAAUGAGAGCAUUUCCUCCCCUACAAAGGCGGAAUGGACUAUGUCCCCCUUUUCACUUGGGCAGCCAGGAAGCUCAGAGGCAAACCACAGUGGCAGCACACUCUUAGCCCCUGAAAGUGGACCCAGCCUUUCCCGAGCAAUUACUGCACUCUCCAGACAUGCGCUGGGCGCUCCACCUGCCUCAGCCAUUUGGUCCCUGUAACAGCCCUUGGAAGAUAGAAAUCUUGUUACCCCAUUUUGCAGAUAAGGAAACUGAGGUCAGUACUUUGACCAAAGCUGAGCAGCUGGUAGGGGGCAGAGCUGGGAUUUGAACCCAGUAUCCUGACUCCAGACCCCACGCUCUUAACCAGAGGUUAUCUGCCCUCCUAUUUGUCCCCACACCUGUGUUCUGCCUUUCAACUUGAACUUUUCUCCUGUUCUGCUUUAUGUUUUUGCUGGUCCUGAUGUUUCCUUCCGACUGUUUAGUAGUUUGUGGUAUGUAUUUCCUGAAAGCCCCUUUAAGCCCUUUGUGGCUCACGGAAGCCGCAGUGAGACCUAAACUCGGAUCCCGGCGGUGUGGCCGGGACCAGGGAGGCCUGCAAGUGGCAGCUCUGAGCCUCUUUCCGGGGAGGCCCCGCCUCUGCCAGGAGGGGCAGCCUGCCUGCGUGGGCACGGGGCCUGAGCAGCCUGUCCCCUCUUGGUCCAGGGCAAGUGCUGUGGCUGGGCCAGCCCCUACAACUGGACGGAAAACGCUGAGCUCAUGAACCGCACCACCGUCACCUACCCCUGCUCCUGCGAGGUCAAGGACGACAACAACAACAGCAGCAGCUACCUCACGAGUAACGGCUUCUGCGAGCAUCCCAGCAGCAACAUGACCCAGAGUGGCAACAAUCCCGACUACUGGCCUGUGUAUCAGGAUGGCUGCAUGCAGAAGGUGCAGGAGUGGCUGCAGGACAACCUGGGCAUCAUCCUGGGCGUGUGUGUGGGCAUCGCUUUCAUUGAGCUCCUGGGGAUGCUCCUGUCCAUCUGCUUGUGCCGGCACAUCCAUUCCGAAGACUACAGCAAGGUCCCCAAGUACUGAGGCAGCUGCUGUCCCCACCUCCCUGCCCGUCCCCCCACCUCAGGGCUCUCCCUGGGGGAGCUUGGCGUCUCCCUGGCUCCCUCCCCCAGGCCUGCCUUCCAACUCACUGCCAAGGCCCCUUGCCCAUUCUAUGCUCUGUGCUGGCUGGAAAUGAGGGGCCUUCUGGGGCCUGGGCCCCACUCCCUGCCUUUCCGCCUCUGGCCUUGAGCCCGGCUGUUCUGUGGCUCCUCCGCUCACUGCCCACCGGGGUUCUCCGAGCAGCUCGGAGAAAACACCCCCGCAGCAUCUCUGCACAGGUGGGCUGGGUCUCUACCUGCCUCUGGGGAUGUAUAUAUUGUAUGGGGGAAAGUGUAUUAAAAAUUGGGGGGGGAUGUAGAUAAGGUACUCUGGGCUGUCAGGGGACUGCCCACUGCGUGGGUCAACUUUUUCUCCACUACGAUGCUUAGACCUUUGGCUUUCACAUUUUCAUGAAAGGCUGUGGGAGAGGGUGGGCUUCGCCUGAUGUUAGGGGCGGCACCUUCCCCAGGCCUGGCCCCGCCCCGCCCAGGCAGCUCAGAUCCGCCUGGGCCAUGUCCUGGGAGCAAGACCCGGAUGAGCUCGGCCCAGCAGGGCCUGGCCCGGCCCUGGGCUGCUUAGGGAAUCAGGGGUGCGUCCUCGGGGUAUGGCGCAGAGCUGACCCUGCGUCCUCCGGCCCCUGAGCCGUCCAGGGAAGCGGGAAGGAUGCUUUCCCUCGUCCUCUGCCUCCCGGGAAGUGGGUGGGUGAGGCUGCGCUUUGUAGGGGAGUGGGAAGGGGCUCCACGCACAGUUCUGUAAAGCAUACUCAAGAUAUGAAGACUGACUAUUAAAGAUGAUUUGUAACAACC